rnacentral:rRNA from 1 species
UGACUCGUUCAUACUACAGUGGCCACACCAGAUCCCAUCAGAACUCUGAAGUUAAGCACUGUAAGGCCUGGCUAGUACUGAGGUGGGAGACCGCUCGGGAACACCAGGUGAUGAGUCAU